UACGAAGGGGGCUAGCGUUGCUCGGAAUCAAUGGGCGUAAAGGGUGCGUAGGCGGGUCUUUAAGGCAGGGGUGAAAUCCUGGAGCUCAACUCCAGAACUGCCUUUGAUACUGAAGAUCUUGAGUUCGGGAGAGGUGAGUGGAACUGCGAGUGUAGAGGUGAAAUUCGUAGAUAUUCGCAAGAACACCAGUGGCGAAGGCGGCUCACUGGCCCGAUACUGACGCUGAGGCACGAAAGCGUGGGGAGCAAACAGG
rnacentral:rRNA from 1 species